rnacentral:rRNA from 2 species
GACGUGCUAUACUGCAGUCGACGAACUCUGGUAUUGAUUGGUGCUUGCAUCAUGAUUUACAUUUGAGUGAGUGGCGAACUGGUGAGUAACACGUGGGAAACCUGCCCAGAAGCGGGGGAUAACACCUGGAAACAGAUGCUAAUACCGCAUAACAACUUGGACCGCAUGGUCCGAGUUUGAAAGAUGGCUUCGGCUAUCACUUUUGGAUGGUCCCGCGGCGUAUUAGCUAGAUGGUGAGGUAACGGCUCACCAUGGCAAUGAUACGUAGCCGACCUGAGAGGGUAAUCGGCCACAUUGGGACUGAGACACGGCCCAAACUCCUACGGGAGGCAGCAGUAGGGAAUCUUCCACAAUGGACGAAAGUCUGAUGGAGCAACGCCGCGUGAGUGAAGAAGGGUUUCGGCUCGUAAAACUCUGUUGUUAAAGAAGAACAUAUCUGAGAGUAACUGUUCAGGUAUUGACGGUAUUUAACCAGAAAGCCACGGCUAACUACGUGCCAGCAGCCGCGGUAAUACGUAGGUGGCAAGCGUUGUCCGGAUUUAUUGGGCGUAAAGCGAGCGCAGGCGGUUUUUUAAGUCUGAUGUGAAAGCCUUCGGCUCAACCGAAGAAGUGCAUCGGAAACUGGGAAACUUGAGUGCAGAAGAGGACAGUGGAACUCCAUGUGUAGCGGUGAAAUGCGUAGAUAUAUGGAAGAACACCAGUGGCGAAGGCGGCUGUCUGGUCUGUAACUGACGCUGAGGCUCGAAAGUAUGGGUAGCAAACAGGAUUAGAUACCCUGGUAGUCCAUACCGUAAACGAUGAAUGCUAAGUGUUGGGAGGGUUUCCGCCCUUCAGUGCUGCAGCUAACGCAUUAAGCAUUCCGCCUGGGGGAGUACGGCCGCAAGGCUGAAACUCAAAGGAAUUGACGGGGGCCCGCACAAGCGGUGGAACCAUGUG